rnacentral:rRNA from 2 species
GCUAUACAUGCAGUCGAGCGGACAGAUGGGAGCUUGCUCCCUGAUGUUAGCGGCGGACGGGUGAGUAACACGUGGGUAACCUGCCUGUAAGACUGGGAUAACUCCGGGAAACCGGGGCUAAUACCGGAUGGUUGUUUGAACCGCAUGGUUCAAACAUAAAAGGUGGCUUCGGCUACCACUUACAGAUGGACCCGCGGCGCAUUAGCUAGUUGGUGAGGUAACGGCUCACCAAGGCAACGAUGCGUAGCCGACCUGAGAGGGUGAUCGGCCACACUGGGACUGAGACACGGCCCAGACUCCUACGGGAGGCAGCAGUAGGGAAUCUUCCGCAAUGGACGAAAGUCUGACGGAGCAACGCCGCGUGAGUGAUGAAGGUUUUCGGAUCGUAAAGCUCUGUUGUUAGGGAAGAACAAGUACCGUUCGAAUAGGGCGGUACCUUGACGGUACCUAACCAGAAAGCCACGGCUAACUACGUGCCAGCAGCCGCGGUAAUACGUAGGUGGCAAGCGUUGUCCGGAAUUAUUGGGCGUAAAGGGCUCGCAGGCGGUUUCUUAAGUCUGAUGUGAAAGCCCCCGGCUCAACCGGGGAGGGUCAUUGGAAACUGGGGAACUUGAGUGCAGAAGAGGAGAGUGGAAUUCCACGUGUAGCGGUGAAAUGCGUAGAGAUGUGGAGGAACACCAGUGGCGAAGGCGACUCUCUGGUCUGUAACUGACGCUGAGGAGCGAAAGCGUGGGGAGCGAACAGGAUUAGAUACCCUGGUAGUCCACGCCGUAAACGAUGAGUGCUAAGUGUUAGGGGGUUUCCGCCCCUUAGUGCUGCAGCUAACGCAUUAAGCACUCCGCCUGGGGAGUACGGUCGCAAGACUGAAACUCAAAGGAAUUAGACGGGGGCCCGCACAAUCGGUGGAGCAUGUGGUUUAAUUCGAAGCAACGCGAAGAACCUUUACCCGGUCUUGAACAUCCUCCUGACAAUCCCAGAAGAUAGGAGGUCCCCCUUUCCGGGGGCAGAAGGAACAGGUGGGUGCAGGGGUUGUCGUCCCCCCUC